rnacentral:rRNA from 1 species
UGGAAGGCAGCAAUGGGGAAUAUUGCACAAUGGGCGCAAGCCUGAUGCAGCGACGCCGCGUGGGGGAUGACGNCUUCGGGUUGUAAACCUCUUUCAGUAGGGACGAAGCGCAAGUGACGGUACCUACAGAAGAAGGACCGGCCAAUACGUGCCAGCAGCCGC